UACGAUGUGAUGUAAAGGCAGCAUAGGGGCCUCAUAAGCCCUUCGUGCGGGUUCGACUCCCGCCAUCGUGACGA
rnacentral:tRNA from 1 species